UACAGAGGGUGCGAGCGUUAAUCGGAAUUACUGGGCGUAAAGCGCGCGUAGGCGGCUUUUCAAGUCGAUUGUGAAAUCCCCGGGCUUAACCUGGGAACUGCAGUCGAGACUGUCUAGCUAGAGUAUGGGAGAGGGUAGUGGAAUUCCCGGUGUAGUGGUGAAAUGCGUAGAUAUCGGGAGGAACACCAGUGGCGAAGGCGACUACCUGGCCUGUUCUUGACGCUGAGGCGCGAAAGCUAGGGGAGCAAACGGG
rnacentral:rRNA from 1 species